UAGGAUGGGGAUGCGUCUGAUUAGGUAGUAGGCGGGGUAACGGCCCACCUAGCCGACGAUCAGUAGGGGUUCUGAGAGGAAGGUCCCCCACAUUGGAACUGAGACACGGUCCAAACUCCUACGGGAGGCAGCAGUGAGGAAUAUUGGUCAAUGGACGGAAGUCUGAACCAGCCAAGUAGCGUGCAGGAUGACGGCCCUAUGGGUUGUAAACUGCUUUUAUAUAGGGAUAAAGUCGGGGACGUGUCCCCGUUUGUAGGUACUAUAUGAAUAAGGACCGGCUAAUUCCGUGCCAGCAGCCGCGGUAAUACGGAAGGUCCAGGCGUUAUCCGGAUUUAUUGGGUUUAAAGGGAGCGCAGGCUGAUGAUUAAGCGUGACGUGAAAUGUAGCCGCUCAACGGCUGAACUGCGUCGCGAACUGGUUAUCUUGAGUGAGUUCGAUGUUGGCGGGAUUCGUGGUGUAGCGGGUGAAAUGCUUAGAUAUCACGAAGAACUCCGAUUGCGAAGGCAGCCAACAAGGCCUUUACUGACGCUAAAGCUCGAAGGUGCGGGUAUCGAACAGGAUUAGAUACCCUGGUAGUCCGCACGGUAAAACGAUGGA
rnacentral:rRNA from 1 species